AUAUAUAUAUAAAUAGGCUCGUGGGCACCACAUGUGGUCCUCGCGGGCACCAUGUUGGUGACCUCUGCACUGACGCAGUGGGCGUGUUUAGAGUGGUGUGACCGUAAACGACAAGCUGCUUCUAUGCUUUCAUCAAACACACCUGCACCUGACGACAAACUCAUUCAGGACUCCUGCACGUUUACGCUUCUACUAAUGAAGACACGGACAAGACGGCUCGCGCCAAGUCCUCAAAAGACGGAGCAUGUGGUGCUUUCCAAAAAAAAAAAA